rnacentral:rRNA from 1 species
AUUGAACGCUGGCGGCAUGCCUUACACAUGCAAGUCGAACGGUAACGGGCCUUCGGGUGCCGACGAGUGGCGAACGGGUGAGUAAUGUAUCGGAACGUACCUUUCAGUGGGGGAUAACGUAGCGAAAGUUACGCUAAUACCGCAUAUUCUGUGAGCAGGAAAGCAGGGGAUCGCAAGACCUUGCGCUGAUUGAGCGGCCGAUAUCAGAUUAGCUAGUUGGUGAGGUAAAGGCUCACCAAGGCGACGAUCUGUAGCGGGUCUGAGAGGAUGAUCCGCCACACUGGAACUGAGACACGGUCCAGACUCCUACGGGAGGCAGCAGUGGGGAAUUUUGGACAAUGGGGGCAACCCUGAUCCAGCCAUGCCGCGUGAGUGAAGAAGGCCUUCGGGUUG